AACACGCAGAGAAGAUGGGCAUCCAUGAAGCAGAGAAUGAUUGGCCCUUGACAGAUGCUGAAUCUGCCAGUGCCCUGACCUGGGACUUACCAGUUUCCAGAACUCUAUUCCACUUUAGAAGUUAUUUGAAAGUACAAAGGAAGAUGAACCAACAUUAGUAAGUGAUCACAAUGAAGGUUAAGAUAGGCAACUUGAGAAAAGAGUAUUUUGUCAGUAAGUUAGGAAUUUGAUUUUAUCUAAGGUAGAAAAUUUUUACAAGAGGAAAGACAGAAAAGAUUAUCUUUUAGCAUCAACCUCUCUAACAGUAAGAAUGAGGAAAUACAGAACAAAACCACCCACAUGGAUGAUACAAGAAACAUCUCCAAAACUCCUACACAGAAAUCUAAACAUCUGAGUUUUUGUUCCGAGUCUAUUCAAGUUGAGUUGUAUGACCUUGGGUAAAUCCUUUUAUAUUGUGAUUCUUGGGGUCCAUAUGUGUAAAAUAACUUGGUUGGAAAUAAAGAACUUAAAUUCC
rnacentral:lncRNA from 1 species